GAGGGAAAGAAGAGAGAUGAACUUAUGAACUUUUGAAAGUGAUAAGUAUGAGCAACCUCAAGAGAAAAAGGAAAAAAGUUAAGAGAGUCAUAAAUCCUAUCCUUCCUACAUUAAAGUUUGAUAGAAGAGAGAAAGAGUGAAGGAAUUUCAACUAGUUACCACUGUGAAGAAGCAUUAAAAGCUAUCUCUACCUCUCAAAGCUUUUAAGGAAG
rnacentral:lncRNA from 1 species